rnacentral:lncRNA from 1 species
CUCCAAUGACUUCACACAAAAUUUUCUCUUAGUAGAACACUUAGAACACAAGAAGUUGAGAAAUCAAAAAGCAAGAAAACUAUGUAAGCUAGAUAUGCAGCAAACUAGUCGGUAUAGCACAAAAUUAAACAAUACUAAACAUGCAAAACGUUUCUACCAAAACAAAAGAAAUACAAGUUCAAACAAGCAACAAAUUACUAAGCAAAAUAACUAUGCUAUUCGGCCCUAGGUGAGGCUUCUUGGACACUUUGAGCCCUUGAAGACACACUCACCGUCUAAAACGUAAUUUAAAAGAGGUAAUUAACAAUAAUCCAAGUUGUAAAGGAGAUAAGAAAACCCCCUUUGUUGUUCCUCUUUUUGGUUAGUGCACUUUCUUUGUUGUCUUGAUUGUUGAUCUUCUAGGUGUUUGUAGUGUUUGUUUUCGGCCUUAGCUUUGACUCCUCCUUAGAAAGUUGGCUUUAAUUCUCCAAUUUCCAGCACCUAUUCACAAAGGCUUAACCUUAAACCAAGUCAAUUUCCGUGCACAUAAGCACCAAGGGAGA